GCUCAGAACGAACGCUGGCGGCGUGCCUAACACAUGCAAGUCGAACGAGAAGUACGUAGCAAUACGUAUUGUAAAGUGGCGCACGGGUGAGUAACACGUGGGUAAUCUGCCCUUGAGUUUGGGAUAACCCCGCGAAAGCGGGGCUAAUACCGAAUAAGACCACGGGGACCAAAGUCCCUGAGGUAAAAGGUGGCCUCUAUUUAUAAGCUACCACUUGAGGAUGAGCCCGCGGCCCAUUAGCUAGUUGGCGGGGUAACGGCCCACCAAGGCUAUGAUGGGUAGCUGGUCUGAGAGGACGAUCAGCCACACUGGAACUGAGACACGGUCCAGACUCCUACGGGAGGCAGCAGUGGGGAAUAUUGCGCAAUGGGCGAAAGCCUGACGCAGCAACGCCGCGUGGGGGAUGAAGGUUCUCGGAUUGUAAACCCCUUUCGACCGGAACGAAUCCCCUCCUGGUAAAUAAUCAGGAGGAUCGACGGUACCGGGAGAAGAAGCCACGGCUAACUCUGUGCCAGCAGCCGCGGUAAGACAGAGGUGGCUAGCGUUGUUCGGAUUUAUUGGGCGUAAAGCGUACGCAGGCGGUUUGGUAAGUCAGAGGUGAAAGCCCACAGCUUAACUGUAGCACUGCCUUUGAUACUGCCUUUCUUGAGUAGAGUAGGGGGAAGCGGAAUUCCGAGUGUAGAGGUGAAAUUCGUAGAUAUUCGGAGGAACACCGGUGGCGAAGGCGGCUUCCUGGACUCUAACUGACGCUCAUGUACGAAAGCGUGGGUAGCAAACAGGAUUAGAUACCCUGGUAGUCCACGCCCUAAACGAUGGGCACUAGGUGUGGGAGGUAUCGACCCCUUCCGUGCCGCAGCUAACGCAUUAAGUGCCCCGCCUGGGGAGUACGGCCGCAAGGUGAA
rnacentral:rRNA from 1 species